UACAGAGGUCUCAAGCGUUGUUCGGAUUCAUUGGGCGUAAAGGGUGCGUAGGUGGCGCCGUAAGUCGGGUGUGAAAUUUCGGAGCUUAACUCCGAAACUGCAUUCGAUACUGCGGUGCUUGAGGACUGGAGAGGAGACUGGAAUUCAUGGUGUAGCAAUGAAAUGCGUAGAGAUCAUGAGGAAGACCAGUGGCGAAGGCGGGUCUCUGGACAGUUCCUGACACUGAGGCACGAAGGCCAGGGGAGCAAACGGG
rnacentral:rRNA from 1 species